UGGGGAAUAUUGGACAAUGGGGGCAACCCUGAUCCAGCAAUGCCGCGUGUGUGAAGAAGGUCUUCGGAUUGUAAAGCACUUUCGACGGGGACGAUGAUGACGGUACCCGUAGAAGAAGCCCCGGCUAACUUCGUGCCAGCAGCCGCGGUAAUACGAAGGGGGCUAGCGUUGCUCGGAAUGACUGGGCGUAAAGGGCGUGUAGGCGGUUUACACAGUCAGAUGUGAAAUCCCCGGGCUUAACCUGGGAGCUGCAUUUGAUACGUGUAGACUAGAGUGUGAGAGAGGGUUUGUGGAAUUCCCAGUGUAGAGGUGAAAUUC
rnacentral:rRNA from 1 species